AGAGUUUGAUCCUGGCUCAGGAUGAACGCUGGCGGCGUGCCUAACACAUGCAAGUCGAACGGUUUCGCAAGGAACAGUGGCGCACGGGUGAGUAACACGUAGCGAACCUGUCCUGGAGAGCGGGAUAACGCCCCGAAAGGGGUGCUAAGACCGCAUAAGCUCACGAGGGGAAGUGCCUGGUGAGAAAACAGCGCAAGUUGCUUCAGGGGGGAGCUGCAGCCCAUCAGGUAGUUGGUGGGGUAAGAGCCUACCAAGCCGACGACGGGUAGGGGGCCUGAGAGGGUGGUCCCCCACACUGGGACUGAGACACGGCCCAGACUCCUACGGGAGGCAGCAGUGAGGGAUAUUGGUCAAUGGGCGAAAGCCUGAACCAGCGACGCCGCGUGGGUGACGAAGGUCUUCGGAUCGUAAAGCCCUUUUCUGGGUGAAGAGCAAGGACGGUAGCCCAGGAAGAAGUCUCGGCUAACUACGUGCCAGCAGCCGCGGUAAAACGUAGGAGACAAGCGUUAUCCGGAGUUACUGGGCGUAAAGGGCGUGCAGGCGGCGCAUUAAGUCUGUUGUGAAAGCGCCUGGCUUAACCGGGCGAGGCCAAUGGAGACUGAUGGGCUAGAGGACGGCGGAGGGGUGUGGAAUUCCGGGUGUAGUGGUGAAAUGCGUAGAGAUCCGGAGGAACACCAGAGGCGAAGGCGGCACCCUAAGCCGUACCUGACGCUGAGACGCGAUAGCACGGGGAGCAAACGGGAUUAGAAACCCCGGUAGUCCGUGCCGUAAACGAUGCCAGCUAGACGUUCGGGUUCCGAGAGGGACCUGGGUGUCGCAGCAAACGCGAUAAGCUGGCCGCCUGGGGACUACGAGCGCAAGCUUAAAACUCAAAGGAAUUGACGG
rnacentral:rRNA from 1 species